rnacentral:rRNA from 1 species
GAUGAACGCUGGCGGCGUGCUUAACACAUGCAAGUCGAACGAUGAAGCCCAGCUUGCUGGGUGGAUUAGUGGCGAACGGGUGAGUAACACGUGAGUAACCUGCCCUUAACUCUGGGAUAAGCCUGGGAAACUGGGUCUAAUACCGGAUAGGAGCGCCUACCGCAUGGUGGGUGUUGGAAAGAUUUAUCGGUUUUGGAUGGACUCGCGGCCUAUCAGCUUGUUGGUGAGGUAAUGGCUCACCAAGGCGACGACGGGUAGCCGGCCUGAGAGGGUGACCGGCCACAAUGGGACUGAGACACGGCCCAGACUCCUACGGGAGGCAGCAGUGGGGAAUAUUGCACAAUGGGCGAAAGCCUGAUGCAGCGACGCCGCGUGAGGGAUGACGGCCUUCGGGUUGUAAACCUCUUUCAGUAGGGAAGAAGCGAAAGUGACGGUACCUGCAGAAGAAGCACCGGCUAACUACGUG